AUUGAACGCUGGCGGCAGGCCUAACACAUGCAAGUCGAGCGGAGCGGCGGACGGGUGAGUAAGGACUAGGAAUCUGCCUGGUAGUGGGGGAUAACGUCCGGAAACGGGCGCUAAUACCACAUACUAUCAGAUCAGUCUAGGUAGGAUUAGCUAGUUGGUGGGGUAAAGGCCUACCAAGGCGACGAACCGUAGCUGGUCUGAGAGGAUGACCAGUCACACUGGAACGGAGACACGGUCCAGAAGCCUACGGAAGGCAGAAGUGGGGAAUAUUGGACAAUGGGCGAAAGCCUGAUGCAGCCAUGCCGCGUGUGUGAAGAAGGUCUUCGGAUUGUAAAGCACUUUAAGUUGGGAGGCGUUACCAACAGAAUAAGCACCGGCUAACUUCGUGCCAGCAGCCGCGGUAAUAC
rnacentral:rRNA from 1 species